CAUGUCCAAGUAUAAGCACUUAUAUUGUGAAACUGCGAAUGGCUCAUUAAAUCAGUUAUCGUUUAUUUGAUAGUACCUUUACCUGGAUAACCGUGGUAAUUCUAGAGCUAAUACAUGCUAAAAACCCCGACUUCGGGAGGGGUGUAUUUAUUAGAUAAAAAACCAAUGCCCUCUGGGCUCCUUGGUGAUUCAUAAUAACUAAACGAAUCGCAUGGCCUUGCGCCGGCGAUGGUUCAUUCAAAUUUCUGCCCUAUCAACUUUCGAUUGUAAGAUAGAGGCUUACAAUGGUCUUAACGGGUAACGGAGAAUAAGGGUUCGGUUCCGGAGAGGGAGCCUGAGAAACGGCUACCACAUCCAAGGAAGGCAGCAGGCGCGCAAAUUACCCAAUGCUAAUUCAGCGAGGUAGUGACAAUAAAUACUGAUACGGGGCUCUUUCGGGUCUCGUAAUUGGAAUGAGUACAAUCUAAAUCCCUUAACGAGGAACAAUUGGAGGGCAAGUCUGGUGCCAGCAGCCGCGGUAAUUCCAGCUCCAAUAGCGUAUAUUAAAGUUGUUGCCGUUAAAAAGCUCGUAGUUGAACCUUGGACCUGGCUGAUCUGUCCUCCUCAUCGAGCGCACGGAUUCGGUCGGGUCUUUCCUUCUGGGGAACCCGAUGCCCUUUACUGGGUGUCGUGGGGAACCAGGACUUUUACCUUGAAAAAAUUAGAGUGUUCAAAGCAGGCCUUUGCUCGAAUACAUUAGCAUGGAAUAAUAAAAUAGGACAUCGGUUCUAUUUUGUUGGUUUCUAGGACCGCUGUAAUGAUUAAUAGGGAUAGUCGGGGGCGUCAGUAUUCAAUUGUCAGAGGUGAAAUUCUUGGAUUUAUUGAAGACUAACUACUGCGAAAGCAUUCGCCAAGGAUGUUUUCAUUAAUCAGUGAACGAAAGUUAGGGGAUCGAAGACGAUCAGAUACCGUCGUAGUCUUAACCAUAAACUAUGCCGACUAGGGAUCGGACGGUGGUUUUUUUAUGCCCCGUUCGGCACCUUACGAGAAAUCAAAGUUUUUGGGCUCGGGGGGAG
rnacentral:rRNA from 1 species